rnacentral:rRNA from 1 species
UACGUAGGGACCAAGCGUUGUUCGGAUUUACUGGGCGUAAAGGGCGCGUAGGCGGCGUGACAAGUCACUUGUGAAAUCUCCGGGCUUAACUCGGAACGGUCAAGUGAUACUGUUUGUGCUAGAGUACAGAAGGGGCAAUCGGAAUUCUUGGUGUAGCGGUGAAAUGCGUAGAUAUCAAGAGGAACACCAGAGGCGAAGGCGGAUUGCUGGGCUGAUACUGACGCUGAGGCGCGGAAGCUAGGGGUAGCAAAACGGGG